rnacentral:tRNA from 1 species
CGCGGGGUGGAGCAGCCCGGUAGCGCGUCAGGCUCAUAACCUGAAGGCCGCAGGUUCAAAUCCUGCCCGUGCCC